UGUCUUCGAGUCGUUGAUUUCACACUGCCGAGAAAAGCCUCUAGAUAGAAAAUAGGUGCCCGUACCGCAAACCGACACAGGUAGUCAAGAUGAGAAUUCUAAGGUGAGCGAGCGAACUCUCGUUAAGGAACUCGGCAAAAUGACCCCGUAACUUCGGGAGAAGGGGUGCUCUUUAGGGUUAACGCCCAGAAGAGCCGCAGUGAAUAGGCCCAAGCGACUGUUUAUCAAAAACACAGGUCUCUGCUAAACCGUAAGGUGAUGUAUAGGGGCUGACGCCUGCCCGGUGCUGGAAGGUUAAGAGGAGUGGUUAGCUUCUGCGAAGCUACGAAUCGAAGCCCCAGUAAACGGCGGCCGUAACUAUAACGGUCCUAAGGUAGCGAAAUUCCUUGUCGGGUAAGUUCCGACCCGCACGAAAGGCGUAACGAUUUGGGCACUGUCUCAACGAGAGACUCGGUGAAAUCAUAGUACCUGUGAAGAUGCAGGUUACCCGCGACAGGACGGAAAGACCCCGUGGAGCUUUACUGUAGCCUGAUAUUGAAAUUCGGCACAGCUUGUACAGGAUAGGUAGGAGCCUUUGAAACGUGAGCGCUAGCUUACGUGGAGGCGCUGGUGGGAUACUACCCUAGCUGUGUUGGCUUUCUAACCCGCACCACUUAUCGUGGUGGGAGACAGUGUCAGGCGGGCAGUUUGACUGGGGCGGUCGCCUCCUAAAAGGUAACGGAGGCGCUCAAAGGUUCCCUCAGAAUGGUUGGAAAUCAUUCAUAGAGUGUAAAGGCAUAAGGGAGCUUGACUGCGAGACCUACAAGUCGAGCAGGGUCGAAAGACGGACUUAGUGAUCCGGUGGUUCCGCAUGGAAGGGCCAUCGCUCAACGGAUAAAAGCUACCCCGGGGAUAACAGGCUUAUCUCCCCCAAGAGUUCACAUCGACGGGGAGGUUUGGCACCUCGAUGUCGGCUCAUCGCAUCCUGGGGCUGUAGUCGGUCCCAAGGGUUGGGCUGUUCGCCCAUUAAAGCGGUACGCGAGCUGGGUUCAGAACGUCGUGAGACAGUUCGGUCCCUAUCCGUCGUGGGCGUAGGAAAUUUGAGAGGAGCUGUCCUUAGUACGAGAGGACCGGGAUGGACAUACCUCUGGUGUACCAGUUGUCGUGCCAACGGCAUAGCUGGGUAGCUAUGUGUGGACGGGAUAAGUGCUGAAAGCAUCUAAGCAUGAAGCCCCCCUCAAGAUGAGAUUUCCCAACUUCGGUUAUAAGAUCCCUCAAAGAUGAUGAGGUUAAUAGGUUCGAGGUGGAAGCAUGGUGACAUGUGGAGCUGACGAAUACUAAUCGAUCGAAGACUUAAUC
rnacentral:rRNA from 1 species